rnacentral:rRNA from 1 species
GGCUUAGAGUUUGAUCAUGGCUCAGGAUAAACGCUGGCGGCGCACAUAAGACAUGCAAGUCGAACGGACUUAACUCAUUCUUUUAGAUUGAGAGCGGUUAGUGGCGGACUGGUGAGUAACAUGUAAGCAAUCUGCCUAUUAGAGGGGAAUAACAGUGAGAAAUCAUUGCUAAUACCGCAUAUGCCAUAAAAACCACAUGGUUUUAGUGGGAAAGGAGCAAUCCGCUAAUAGAUGAGCUUGCACCUGAUUAGCUAGUUGGUAAGGUAAUGGCUUACCAAGGCGACGACCAGUAGCUGGACUGAGAGGUUGAACGGCCACAUUGGGACUGAGAUACGGCCCAGACUCCUACGGGAGGCAGCAGUCGGGAAUAUUGCGCAAUGGAGGAAACUCUGACGCAGUGGCGCCGCGUAUGGGAAGAAGGUUUUCGGAUUGUAAACCAUUUUAGACAGGGAAGAAAAAAGACAGUACCUGUAGAAUAAGCUCCGGCUAACUACGUGCCAGCAGCCGCGGUAAUACGUAGGGAGCAAGCGUUAUCCGGAAUUAUUGGGUGUAAAGGGUGCGUAGACGGGAAAGCAAGUUAGUUGUGAAAUCCCUCGGCUUAACUGAGGAACUGCAACUAAAACUGUUUUUCUUGAGUGCUGGAGAGGAAAGUGGAAUUCUUAGUGUAGCGGUGAAAUGCGUAGAUAUUAGGAGGAACACCAGUGGCGAAGCGACUUUCUGGACAGUAACUGACGUUGAGGCACGAAAGUGUGGGGAGCAAACAGGAUUAGAUACCCUGGUAGUCCACACCGUAAACGAUGGAUACUAGGUGUAGGGGAUAUUAAGUCCUCUGUGCCGUCGCAAACGCAGUAGUAUCCACCUGG